rnacentral:tRNA from 1 species
CGGGGCGUAGCGCAGCCCGGUUAGCGCGCCUGCUUUGGGAGCAGGAAGUCCCGAGUUCAAAUCUCGGCGCCCCGACCA